ACCAUUUCACUGUGAUAUCUGUGGUAAAUCAUUCUCUCAAAAUUGUCAUUUAACAUCUCACAAACGUAUUCAUACAGGAGAGAGGCCUUUUUGCUGUGAUUUCUGUGGUAAAUCAUUCUCUCAGAAACGUUACUUAACUGCACACAAACGUAUUCACACAGGAGAGAAUCCG